UACGUAGGUGGCGAGCGUUAUCCGGAAUUACUGGGCGUAAAGGGUGUGUAGGUGGCUGCCAUAGUCGGGCGUGAAAUCCCGGGGCUUAACCUCGGGUUUGCGUUCGAUACUUGGUGGCUGGAGUGCGGGAGAGGGAAGUGGAAUUCCCGGUGUAGAGGUGAAAUUCGUAGAUAUCGGGAGGAACACCAGAGGCGAAGGCGGCUACCUGGACCAUACCUGACGCUGAGGAGCGAAAGCGUGGGGAGCAAACAGG
rnacentral:rRNA from 1 species